rnacentral:rRNA from 1 species
CCUACGGGGGGCUGCAGUGAGGAAUAUUGGUCAAUGGACGCAAGUCUGAACCAGCCAAGUAGCGUGCAGGAUGACGGCCCUCCGGGUUGUAAACUGCUUUUAGUUGGGAAUAAAAGGGGGCUCGUGAGCCCCGUAUUGUAUGUACCAUCAGAAAAAGGACCGGCUAAUUCCGUGCCAGCAGCCGCGGUAAUACGGAAGGUCCGGGCGUUAUCCGGAUUUAUUGGGUUUAAAGGGAGCGUAGGCCGGCUUUUAAGUCAGCGGUAAAAUGUCCGGGCUCAACCCGGGCCGGCCGUUGAAACUGGGGAUCUUGAGGGGGCGAGAAGUAUGCGGAAUGCGUGGUGUAGCGGUGAAAUGCAUAGAGAUCACGCAGAACUCCGAUUGCGAAGGCAGCAUACCGGCGCCCGACUGACGCUGAGGCACGAAAGCGUGGGGAUCGAACAGGAUUAGAUACCCGGGUAGUC